rnacentral:rRNA from 1 species
AUAUCAAUAAGCGGAGGAAAAGAAACUAACAAGGAUUCCCCUAGUAACUGCGAGUGAAGCGGGAAAAGCUCAAAUUUAAAAUCUGGUGGCCUCUGGCCACCCGAGUUGUAAUUUAGAGAAGCGUCUUCCGCGCUGGACCAUGCACAAGUCUCCUGGAAUGGAGCGUCAUAGAGGGUGAGAAUCCCGUCUUUGGCAUGGAUGUACCAGGGCUUUUGUGAUGCGCUCUCAAAGAGUCGAGUUGUUUGGGAAUGCAGCUCAAAAUGGGUGGUGAACUCCAUCUAAAGCUAAAUAUUGGCGAGAGACCGAUAGCGAACAAGUACCGUGAGGGAAAGAUGAAAAGCACUUUGGAAAGAGAGUGAAACAGUACGUGAAAUUGUUGAAAGGGAAACGCUUGAAGUCAGUCGCGUCGACAGAGACUCAGCCUCGCCUUGGCUUGGUGUACUUCUCGGUCGACGGGUCAGCGUCAAUUUUGACCCUCGGAUAAUGGCAAGGGAAAGGUAGCACCUUUAUAGGUGUGUUAUAGUCUCUUGUCGCAUGCGAGGGUCGGGAUUGAGGAACUCAGCACGCACCUCUCGGUGUCGGGGCUUCGGCCCACGCUACGUGCUUAGGAUGCUGGCGUAAUGGCUUUAAACGACCCGUCUUGAAACACGGACCAAGGAGUCUAACAUGCCCGCGAGUGUUCGGGUGGAAAACCCGUGCGCGUAAUGAAAGUAAAAGUUGGGACCUCUGUCGUGGGGGGCACCGACGCCCGGACCAGACCUUCUGUGACGGAUCUGCGGUAGAGCGUGCAUGUUGGGACCCGAAAGAUGGUGAACUAUGCCUGAAUAGGGUGAAGCCAGAGGAAACUCUGGUGGAGGCUCGUAGCGAUUCUGACGUGCAAAUCGAUCGUCAAAUUUGGGUAUAGGGGCGAAAGACUAAUCGAACCAUCUAGUAGCUGGUUCCUGC